rnacentral:rRNA from 1 species
CCAAUAGCGUAUAUUAAAGUUGUUGCAGUUAAAAAGCUCGUAGUUGAAUUUCGGGAUCAAUAUAUCGGUCGUGCCUUGGUACGUACUGGUAUCAUUGGUUUCUCCUUUCUGACGAACCAUGAUGUCAUUAAUUUGGUGUUAUGGGAAGUUAGGACUGUUACUUUGAAAAAAUUAGAGUGUUUAAAGCAGGCCUUAGCUUGAAUACAUUAGCAUGGAAUAAUGAAAUAGGACGUUCGAACCUAUUUUGUUGGUUUCCAGGAUCAACGUAAUGAUUAAUAGGGAUAGUUGGGGGCAUUAGUAUUCAAUUGUCAGAGGUGAAAUUCUUGGAUUUAUUGAAGACUAACUACUGCGAAAGCAUUUGCCAAGGAUGUUUUCAUUAAUCAAGAACGAAAGUUAGGGGAUCGAAGACGAUCAGAUACCGUCGUAGUCUUAACCAUAAACUAUGCCGACUAGGGAUCGGAUGAUGUUAAUUUUUUAAUGACUCAUUCGGCGCCUUACG